UACGUAGGCAGCGAGCGUUGUUCGGAGUUACUGGGCGUGAAGAGUGCGUAGGCGGUUUUCUAAGUUUGGUGUGAAAUCUCCCGGCUUAACUGGGAGGGUGCGCCGAAGACUGGAAGGCUUGAGUAUGGGAGAGGUAAGCGGAAUUCCUGGUGUAGCGGUGAAAUGCGUAGAUAUCAGGAGGAACACCUGCGGUGUAGACGGCUUACUGGACCAUAACUGACGCUGAGGCACGAAAGCGUGGGUAGCAAACAGG
rnacentral:rRNA from 1 species